rnacentral:rRNA from 1 species
AGUUUGAUCCUGGCUCAGGAUGAACGCUAGCUACAGGCUUAACACAUGCAAGUCGAGGGGCAGCAUGGUCUUAGCCUGCUAAGGCCGAUGGCGACCGGCGCACGGGUGAGUAACACGUAUCCAACCUGCCGUCUACUCUUGGACAGCCUUCUGAAAGGAAGAUUAAUACAAGAUGGCAUCAUGAGUCCGCAUGUUCACAUGAUUAAAGGUAUUCCGGUAGACGAUGGGGAUGCGUUCCAUUAGAUAGUAGGCGGGGUAACGGCCCACCUAGUCUUCGAUGGAUAGGGGUUCUGAGAGGAAGGUCCCCCACAUUGGAACUGAGACACGGUCCAAACUCCUACGGGAGGCAGCAGUGAGGAAUAUUGGUCAAUGGGCGAGAGCCUGAACCAGCCAAGUAGCGUGAAGGAUGACUGCCCUAUGGGUUGUAAACUUCUUUUAUAAAGGAAUAAAGUCGGGUAUGGAUACCCGUUUGCAUGUACUUUAUGAAUAAGGAUCGGCUAACUCCGUGCCAGCAGCCGCGGUAAUACGGAGGAUCCGAGCGUUAUCCGGAUUUAUUGGGUUUAAAGGGAGCGUAGAUGGAUGUUUAAGUCAGUUGUGAAAGUUUGCGGCUCAACCGUAAAAUUGCAGUUGAUACUGGAUAUCUUGAGUGCAGUUGAGGCAGGCGGAAUUCGUGGUGUAGCGGUGAAAUGCUUAGAUAUCACGAAGAACUCCGAUUGCGAAGGCAGCCUGCUAAGCUGCAACUGACAUUGAGGCUCGAAAGUGUGGGUAUCAAACAGGAUUAGAUACCCUGGUAGUCCACACGGUAAACGAUGAAUACUCGCUGUUUGCGAUAUACUGCAAGCGGCCAAGCGAAAGCGUUAAGUAUUCCACCUGGGGAGUACGCCGGCAACGGUGAAACUCAAAGGAAUUGACGGGGGCCCGCACAAGCGGAGGAACAUGUGGUUUAAUUCGAUGAUACGCGAGGAACCUUACCCGGGCUUAAAUUGCAGAUGAAUUACGGUGAAAGCCGUAAGCCGCAAGGCAUCUGUGAAGGUGCUGCAUGGUUGUCGUCAGCUCGUGCCGUGAGGUGUCGGCUUAAGUGCCAUAACGAGCGCAACCCUUGUUGUCAGUUACUAACAGGUUCCGCUGAGGACUCUGACAAGACUGCCAUSGUAAGAUGUGAGGAAGGUGG